UAGUAUAAGGCUCAGUAGAGCCGGUAGCUUGCUGAAGAGUACAGGCAUCACAAAUGGCAAGCCUGACGGCAAACCAACAUCUAUCUGUCCCCACUCCUUUCUUCCCAUAACUCCCCAGUGUCAAAUAGGAUCCUGUGUCAGCAUUUAGAGAUUGGUUUCUGCAACUGGAAGUUGGUUGGCUCUUUGGUUAUGGUGUUUGGGGAAAACCUCUCUAUUUGGCAGGCUCUUAAAGGAAUUUCUUGACUGAUAAUUUUUUUCCCAAAUAAAUUCAAAAGCGCCAACUUCUAACUCCUACUUAGAAAUCAGCAUCUGGUUUGCCACUAGAUAGUAACAGAAGUGGGUAUUUUCCAGGAUAAAGCUAAGGUCACGAGCCCUGUCACAGGUCCCAGAAAUAUGGACGUCUGCUAGUCAACAGAGCCGACAAACAGCAUGCGCAGCUCCUGAAGCGAUGCAGGAUUGUAACCGGAAAACAGACAGAGCAAACCAUCAAUCUCUCUUCUGCUUCCGCAGCUCCCACACCCUCGGCAAACCAGCUCUUUCCUGGAUCUGCCUCCUAUUUCCCAGUUGCUCUUUGAGGAAUCCUAUGGUUCAUGGUCUCUAGACCCCAUCCCACGCCUGCACAGUUUCUGCCUUGUUGCUGUUGGAGAGACUGAGAUGUACUCUAGCAAGUUUAACCCAGAACACUGGCCAACGCCCUGGGCACUGACCUUCACAUCCACGAAAGAGAGACGUGCUGAGCCUUACUGUGCUCUCACAGCAUAUUCAGGGUGGAGUGAAAACCUCAGACAUCUUUCACACGAACCACCUCAGGAUCCCUAUCCUGUCCAAAUUGCAGGCUAGGCCAGAGGUUCAGACAGAAGGCUAUACCUACCGCUAAUCUGGCUGGAAUUAAGACCGGGAUUCCCAUCACCAAGGGAGACCAAGCAGCGAGGGGAGGGGGCACAGCUGGCUUCACACAGCAAAGAAGUACCGAUGAGCACCCAGUCUGCAGUACUGAGAGAAGAGGACAAAGAGAUCUCAGAGGCGGCAGGAGGGAGUGAAUGAAAACUAAGCCUGCUCCCCCUACACAUUCAAGGAAGGAGGAGACAUCACAGAGAGAUGAAAUGAAAACCAAUGACAUGGCAGCUAGACAAAAAUACUAGAGUGAAAAGAGGAAGGAAAGACGGAAGGUAGAAAGGAAGGAAGAAUGGAAACACACAGGAGGCAGAUGUCAGGAUGGACACAUAAAUGCAAAGAACACAGGGGGGAAAAGAAAAAGUGCAUUUCUGUGCAAAAUAUAUACUGUAACUGCUUAACUCUAGGGAAAACUCGAAUCUGAAAAAAAUGAGAAUAAGAAAUCAGGACAAGAUAAGAAAGAUCACACAUAAGGGACAAAAGUUCUAUUUAAGGAAAUAAAUUAAAGACCAAAAGUAGAAUGAAUCAGAGAUUGAAAAAACAGAACUAGUGUGUUAAAAAAAAUGAAGACAUAUAAUAUGCACAGUUUUACUUGAAUUAGUAAGGAGGACAAGAUAGAUUGUCUGAUCAUAAAGAAUGUAAAGAGGAAAAGAAAGAUUAAAGAAGGCAGGUCCUAAGUUGAGCCUUCUUGACCCUCUCACUGAAGAAAUAAUAUAUUUAAAGACAUACUAGAAGAAAUGUUGUCCUCAGUGGAGAGGAGAGAUGAACUGGGAGGUUGACUGUACACACGAUGCUUUUCUUAUCUUUUUCUUUUAAAGGCAUGUCUGUAAAGAAAUUGCACUGUUCUUAUUCCUAACAGGGGAAAAACACACAUGCAGGGAACAUGAAGGUUAAUGGACACAGGACACCAGAGGGCCUUGAGAUUCUCCAUAAUGCUGAAUGCAAUGGGAUGGUGUUUCACAGAAAGGUGUUAGCCAAGAAUUUUAUAGUUACACAGGCUAUUGCUAAAUAAGUUUUCAAAUAUGCUAGAACUCAGGACACAGAAUACUUCUGGUGCUUCCCAGGGAAACUACUAGAUAAUGAAGUCCAGCUAAACAAAACAUAAAUCAAAAUAAAAUGCUUAAGGAUGGUGAGCCACAAGGAGGGAACUCGCAGUGAGCGUGAAACCCUUUUAUGAGUUUGCACAGCUGGCCAAGUGUGAAAGCUGGUUACAAAGUAGAAUGGAAAUGUUACAACCUCAACGACACAGAGAAAAAAACAGCAUCUAGUCAGGCAGAGCGGGGAAGCUGGAAGAAAUCACCGGCAAAGAAAAUAUGUAAUGAGAUGUUCUGUUUUUUUCUGUUUUCUUGAUACUCCAGCCUUAUGGUCUUUGAUUUUGUAAAGACUGCCUCUCCGGGGAUAGCUCAUCUCAGGAGACAGGAGGAAAACUCUCCUUUGAGUACACCUUUGACAUCGAAACCAACCCAAUCAACCUAGAACACAUAUUUCUAAAUGUCUCCUUUUUCCAACUCUCACAUACCAAGGCAAUAUCAAGUAUCCAACAAUUUGACACCUGUCUCCUCUCCAGAGCCUGUUAAAAUUUUUCAAACCAUCUGACUCUAAGCUUACUCAGGAUACCUACUAUGCUCAGCUCACUCCUUGCCAUGAAAACCCCAGUAAAA